UACGUAGGGUGCGAGCGUUGUCCGGAAUUAUUGGGCGUAAAGAGCUCGUUAGGCGGUUUGUCACGUCUGCUGUGAAAUCCCGAGGCUCAACCUCGGGCCUGCAGUGGGUACGGGCAGACUGGAGUGCGGUAGGGGAGAAUGGAAUUCCUGGUGUAGCGGUGGAAUGCGCAGAUAUCAGGAGGAACACCGAUGGCGAAGGCAGUUCUCUGGGCCGUAACUGACGCUGAGGAGCGAAAGCGUGGGGAGCGAACAGG
rnacentral:rRNA from 1 species